rnacentral:tRNA from 1 species
GUCUUCGUGGUGUAGUGGUCAGCACUCUGGGCGUGUAUUUCAUAGGUCCGUGGUUCGAGUCCCGGCGAAAGCG